rnacentral:lncRNA from 1 species
AGAAACUUGGCAAUUAUUUUUUAGAUUCUUUAACUAAAAACAGGUUAUAUAGAGGAGAACUUAAUCUAGAAAAGAAGUUUAGGUUUCAAAGAUUUUUGUUUGAAAAAAAAAUAAUUUCAAGAAGAUUGGAAGGAGAUUUUGAGAAUAUGAAGUUAGAAGGAGGAACUUUGUAUGUAACCCUAUUUAUAGAGUGAAAAUAAC